GACGAACGCUGGCGGCGUGCUUAACACAUGCAAGUCGAACGGAAAGGCCCUUUCGGGGGUACUCGAGUGGCGAACGGGUGAGUAACACGUGGGUGAUCUGCCCUGCACUUCGGGAUAAGCUUGGGAAACUGGGUCUAAUACCGGAUAGGACUACGGACUGCAUGGUCUGUGGUGGAAAGCUUUUGCGGUGUGGGAUGGGCCCGCGGCCUAUCAGCUUGUUGGUGGGGUGAUGGCCUACCAAGGCGACGACGGGUAGCCGGCCUGAGAGGGUGUCCGGCCACACUGGGACUGAGAUACGGCCCAGACUCCUACGGGAGGCAGCAGUGGGGAAUAUUGCACAAUGGGCGCAAGCCUGAUGCAGCGACGCGCCCCGUGGGGAGUGACGGCC
rnacentral:rRNA from 1 species